UAGGAACGCAUGAGGAACAAAGAACGCCACCUCGUGUGGCAACGCCUUCGUGACCAACAUAGUGUUGG
rnacentral:sRNA from 1 species